CCCAUGCGGGGGCUACCGUGCGGUCGAGCGGGGAGAUGUAGCGGGCUACAUUACCUAGCGGCGGACGGGUGAGUAAUGCUUAGGAAUCUGCCUAUUAGUGGGGGACAACAUUCCGAAAGGAAUGCUAAUACCGCAUACGCCCUACGGGGGAAAGCAGGGGAUCUUCGGACCUUGCGCUAAUAGAUGAGCCUAAGUCAGAUUAGCUAGUUGGUGGGGUAAAGGCCUACCAAGGCGACGAUCUGUAGCGGGUCUGAGAGGAUGAUCCGCCACACUGGGACUGAGACACGGCCCAGACUCCUACGGGAGGCAGCAGUGGGGAAUAUUGGACAAUGGGCGAAAGCCUGAUCCAGCCAUGCCGCGUGUGUGAAGAAGGCCUUUUGGUUGUAAAGCACUUUAAGCGAGGAGGAGGCUACUUGGAUUAAUACUCUAGGAUAGUGGACGUUACUCGCAGAAUAAGCACCGGCUAACUCUGUGCCAGCAGCCGCGGUAAUACAGAGGGUGCGAGCGUUAAUCGGAUUUACUGGGCGUAAAGCGUGCGUAGGCGGCUUCUUAAGUCGGAUGUGAAAUCCCUGAGCUUAACUUAGGAAUUGCAUUCGAUACUGGGAAGCUAGAGUAUGGGAGAGGAUGGUAGAAUUCCAGGUGUAGCGGUGAAAUGCGUAGAGAUCUGGAGGAAUACCGAUGGCGAAGGCAGCCAUCUGGCCUAAUACUGACGCUGAGGUACGAAAGCAUGGGGAGCAAACAGGAUUAGAUACCCUGGUAGUCCAUGCCGUAAACGAUGUCUACUAGCCGUUGGGGCCUUUGAGGCUUUAGUGGCGCAGCUAACGCGAUAAGUAGACCGCCUGGGGAGUACGGUCGCAAGACUAAAACUCAAAUGAAUUGACGGGGGCCCGCACAAGCGGUGGAGCAUGUGGUUUAAUUCGAUGCAACGCGAGAACCUUACCUGGUCUUGACAUAGUAAGAACUUUCCAGAGAUGGAUUGGUGCUUCGGGACUUACAUACAGUGCUGCAUGCUGUCGUCAGCUCGUGUCGUGAGAUGUGGGUAGUCCGCACGAGCGCACCCUUUCUAUUGCAGCGGUAGCGGACUUAGAUACUGCAGUGACAAACUGAGAGC
rnacentral:rRNA from 1 species